AGUGUACAGGCAGAGGAACAAAGGACAAGUUAGCCGUGCCUGUCACUUUAAAAGAGUCCUAUCGUAUUCAGACCUUGCUAUCCACACGGACAUCAUGCAGACAAAGAGUAAGUUGGGGGUACAGUAUGGGUUUAGCGUUGUCUCAUUGGACAUAAUUUACCACUGUCCAGCCUCCAAAUUCCCACACAGAA